UGGAAAUGUAAAUUAAAAAAAAAUAAGAGUCCGCAUACCCCUUGCCCAGACAGAGAAUAAAUUAGGCAAACCAUAGAGAUCAUUAACAAACAUUUCUUGGGCGCCUAAUAUUGGUGGAUACUGUGGCAAGCACCCUGGUUCUGUUGCAGAACUUGAAUUAAUUCUGCUUCUAGGGGAAGCACAAUAUAACAACAACAACAAUAACCACCACCAUGCACUGAGCCCUGACUACUUGCCGAGGAAUGUGCCACGUGCGUGUACUUGCAUUGUUGUAUUAUUGCAAUAUUGCAUCAUUUAACCCUGUGCAGUAAGUAAUAUUACUAUCAACAGAUGAGAAAACAAAGGCUCAGAGAAGCUAAGAAACUUGUGCAAGACCUCAGAGCUCGUAAAUUCUAGAUCAAGCAUUUGAAACCAGGUAUUCUGUCUCUAGGGCCUGUAGGCUUGACCACUGCCCUGUGUUACUUGAGAAGGAUCCCAGAAGUAGUGUGAGAAUACUGGAGUCACAUGAGACCCAGGUUUAAAUCUUAUUUCUGUCUCUUAUGUGGCCAUAGACAAGUUACUUAUUUUUUGAGACUCCAAGGUUAAUAGUAUUAUACUGAUAUCUAAAAUACAGUAGUUAUAGGACUAUAGUAUCUUUAAAAAUCUAUAGAUGCUGGUAUCUAUAGUACUAGUGUCCAACAGCAUAGAUAAUAGCAUUUACUUUGCCAAAUUGUCAUAAGAUUAGAGCGCCUGCCACAUGGUUGCUAUUCAAUAAAUGAUAGUUGUCAUGAUUUAACUGUUAACUCUGAGUCUAAACAGUCAUAGAGGAAGAAGGUUAUGCCAAACUCAGAGUACACCAAACUUUUCCUUUUCUCACUAACCAGGACUACUGGCGACUCCUUGAUAAGUUGUCCCUAGAAUCAAAUGUCGCCAUUGCUGGAGGAAAGAAGACCAGGGCGUGCGUGCUCCUUCUGCAUUCUGCACAGCUUAGGAAAUGAAGCUCAUUUAUUUAAUUGACACCAGAGCUUUGGCACCGUGUAAAGUCUUCCUCUAGAGGAAACAGACAACCAGCUAAUGUCCCAAGGAGGGAGGGACAAUUAGCUAAUUCAUGACCUAAGGUCAUAGUUACAGUAUACUCUUUUAGCCAAAGAUAGUAAUUUGCUAGCCUAAAUAACACCAAACCAAGAUUACCAAUGUUGCUAGAGAAAGUGCUGCUUAAGGAUAGGUCAAGCCCCAAAUUAUAAAACUGAAAUUCCGAGAUGUUUGGGAUGCUCAGAGAUGUUAGGAUUUUCAUAGGGAUUUUGCAAUAGAGAUAGAAAAUCAAGCCUAAAACAAGUUAUUAUCCUGAACAGUAGAAGUAUAAACAGGAUACUAAUUAAUGAGCAUUCUAGUAAUUUUUAAGGGCAUAAUAUGAUAUCAGAGCUGGAAAGGGUUUUAGAGCUCAUUUAUUCACACUCUUCUUUUUUUUUUUUAGGUGUGGAAACUGAAAGCAAGAGAAAGAAAAUGCUGUGGCCAGUUCCAUAUGGGGAGCUGGAUAGAGACGAGCAAUCAGCCACUAUGUCUGGAUCCGGAAAUCGCUGCUUGUGCAUUGAAAGUGGAUGGCAGUCGUGCACACACACCGUAGAUAAUCCUGAAACUCUACUACUGAGGUUGCUGCUGGGAUUCCCAGUAUUCUCUCCACAUCCUUGAAUGGUAAAAGAACUGCGGAAACCCCCAGAUGCUGCUUCCUCCACAUUGACCCGCGUUAGGAAAUUACCAGGCUCUAUACCCUUCAGGCUUUUAGGAUUGGGGAAAUGGAUUGCACUGACAUUUCUGAGAAGUCCAUAUGAAUCAUUCUAAAAAUCUGAGGUUUCGGGUUAGAUAUUGGCAUCUAGCAUCGCAGGCUCCACUUAUGCAGUUUAGGGUUCAGUAUAUAUUUGUAUAGUUGAUAAAGCAUCACUAGUGGCACAUGGAUAUGGUGGCUGCUCCUGGGAAGAUAUUAUCCUCAUUUUAUAGACAGUUAAAAAGGGGGCCUUGGAGUGAAGCUUCUUGCCCCAGGCCCUGUAAAGUGACAUAGUAGAGGCAGAAGUCUCGGGAUAUUAAGACCAAUUGGUUUGAUGUCCCUGAGUCUUUUCAGGACUGGGAAGUGAGGAGGCUGCAGCAUGGCAGAGCCUUCCCAAUUCUACUCUUUCUGAAAUGGGUUGCAUCAUCUGACUCUCUGAAAUUAAGUUUACUUUAAAAAAAUUAAUGGGAAUUUUUAUUACAAAGGAUGCAGCGUUUUCACAACACUGCAUGAUUCAGUGAUUCAUUGCAGAGAUUACUUACAUAACAGGUAUUUCCCUCGGGCCAUCCCAGUCAUGGGAUAGAGCUGGGAUGUCCUACUGUAGCAAAUGGAUUUUUCUGCUUUCCUUGCCCGUGACCUGUGGGAACUUCCAAGUCAACCCAAUCCUUCCCUCUGCUCAGGCAGGGGAGGGGAAUCCCUGAGGGAUGAGUGUCUUAGGAACUGCCGUCUUUCCUACACGUUUUAUCUGUGUGUCUGGCCAGUGCUUCCUGACCCAGCCACAGGCCACAGAACCUUGUGCUAGUCUUGUCUGCCCUGUCUUGGAUGCCGAAAUGUUCCACAGGCCAACACAGAACGCUUGUCUCUUCUUUAUUUCCAGCAGAUGUGGCCAUUUUCUCUACUACAGAAUGCAAAGAGGAUGACUGACAAUAUGUGCAAAGCUCUCUCUCAGGGAUUCUUUUCUUCUCACCUUCUGUGUCAGCCAGUCGCAUCUAGCUCUCCUCUUGAGGAGUGAGGUCCCUAAGAACCAUGCUGAUCUCCUCUGUUUUCUUCCCUCCAGGACGGUCUCCAGGCCUCUUCCUCCAGCUAUUUCUUCCCACCUCCAUUAGUAGAUUCCUUCUAAAAUAGAACCAGCCAAUUUCCGGGGGCGGGCAGAGGGAAUGAGGGCUGGUGGCUUUUGUUAUCCUUGCCAGAGAGGGGAGGUAUCCAGGAUAUCAGUACACAAGAUAAGGAAAUUCUGUAGAUAUAUUCCUAACCUUGACUCUGGUUCCCUAUGAGGUUUUGUUUUGUUUUUAAUUAAUAGACUUGAUGUUUUAGAAAAGUUUUAAGUUUACGAUAAACUGAGCAGAUAGUACAGAGAGUUCCCAUAUAUCCCCUCUCCCCACUGUACGAGGUUUUAAGAGCUCAGUUUUGGAAAGCAUGAAGUGUUGGAAGAACAAAUGCAAUCUUGCAAGCAAGUACCACAUUUCUAACCUGCUGAACCACGGAGAGACAAGCAGGGAAGUGAAUAAAAUCAGCAUCCUAAGUAGAUCACUUAUCAUCUUGGCCCACAGGUUAUUUAUAAAGGCAAAUUACUCAAUGUACUAAUUGCAGAGCACUUUCCGUUAUUCAGCUAAGAAGCACAAAUAGUGAAGAAGCUUUAUUUUAUGCUUUACACAUACUUUUCAAGUUUAAAAGAAGUCUAAUAUAAUUGAGUACUAUUCUAACAAUAAUUAGACUUUUCUAUUUGCUUAUCUCCUUUUUCAGCUGUUUCUGUUCUGGGUUCUCAUUCUAGUCGAGCCCAUUUGCUCAGAACCACAAAUUGAUUCUUAAAAGCUCCCUGCAGUUGAAGUCCGGGAGCAGAGUGGGAGCUCUAUUAACUGUCUAUGGUUUCAUUUUUCUGCACCUAAAUCCCUAAAGCCUUUAGAGAGCCUGGAAGUUCGAAGUCUUUUCUAAUGAUCAAGUAAUGGUUGAAAAAGCUUGUUGAAAAGAUUGUAAAUAUUUGUCGAUUGAUUGUCAACAGAGAAGAAGGCUUUUACUCCUCCACCGUGGCUGAGAGGACAGUAAGAGAGGAAGCUCUUACACACCCGUUUGAAUUCGGCUUUUUCUUUCUCAUGCUUUGAGCUCCUAGACACACAUUUCAAGAACAUAUCUUCUCUUUCACCUUCAAAAGAGAAAAAUUAGAAUAAAACAGUUUUCUUAAGUUUUGCUCUGUAACACAGGGAAAUGUACAGAUAGUCAGUUCCCAAGUUGGGCAAGACUGAGCAGAGCUCUUCAUGAAUAAGAACAAACUUUGAGUUUCAAUCCACUGAAGGGAGAUGGAGGAGGUGGAGUAGGCAGCUGCUGAUGUCGUGAGAUGUGAACAUUGCUAAAAGACUUGCCUGCACAAAAAUAUCUUUCCCCUGAGUUUAGCCUAGAUACUGAAAGGCAGCCAGCUAUGGGAACUGCUCUUCUGGAUAAAGACAUUGUCUCCAUUAGAUGCCAUUAAAAUACACACCUAUUCCUUGGGAAAGGUAAAUGUUAACACAUUAGGAAAGAUUAAAGAGUGUGUGUGUGUGUGUGAGUGUUUUAUUUUGAGAUCGUUGUAGAUUCACAUGCAGUUGGAAGAAAUAACACGGUGACUAGUAAUAAUUGACCCAUUUUCCCCACCUUGCAUAACUAUAGUACAAUAGCUCAACUGGGAAAUUGACAUUGAUACAAUCUACAGAUCUUAUCGCGAUUUCUCCAACUUCACAUGUACUUAUCUGUGUGUGUGUAUUUAGUUCCAUGCAAUUUUAUCGCACGUAGAGACUGGUUUAGCCACCACCAUAGUCAAGAUAGAGAAGACACAAGAUUCAAGAUCCAUCACAAGGUGGGUGGCCCGGCUGUGGUCUCCCUCCACGCUCAUUUAUUGUUUGGGAGCAGCCUUGGGGAAGUGUGGCCUCAGCAUAAAUGCUGCAGCCAGUUCUAAGAUGUGGCAGCUGGAGGCUACCAGUCAACUGCAUUCCUUGCAGCAGGUACUUUCUUGACAGGAGAUCUGAGGGGCAUACCGCUGUCGCUGCCGCGAUCGCCUUUCUUUGUCUUUUAUGGCAUCGACAUUUUUGAAGAAGAAUCUUCCCUCUCCUUUAUUUUUAAUAAAACAUGCUUCAUUUUCGGUUUGUGUAAUGUUUAACCCAGUGUUUUUCAAACAUUUUUUCACAGAUUCUUUUGCUAAUAAUUUACCUAUUAGCAUCCCUUUGGCAUCCCUUUGAAUUGGUCCUCUAUGGAACACACUUCGGGAAACUGCACACAUGUUGAUGUGACUGCUGGAAGGGAUCUUUCCUCCUCUUUUGUCGAGUGAUCUUCCUCUGCCUUCAAAAUUCACACUCUUCAGUGUUUUAGGUGGGCAUGCUCUCUUCCCAUGAUGUGCUGUGCGUCAUACCUAUCAGAUAGGCUGUCAUCAGUUGACUUGUCCAACUCCUUCAAGCUCAUGUAGAAGAUGUUCAACAAAUGAAUGCAUACAGUACGGCACUAUUUCCAAAGGACAACAUUUCUAGCAAUUCGAAUAUUACCUAAAUUUUAUCUAUAUAGAACCAAACUAUUAAGAGAAAAUAAUUUGGACAAUUCAUAGUAAAUAAGAGGUGAGAAUAUAGUACAGGAAGGGAGAAUAUAGCAUAUCCUCUUACACUCUGGUAUCAAAGUCUUAUUAAUGGGAAUUCUUCCAGAGUUUUUACAGGAGGCCACUUAGCAGCUAUAAAUACAGUCCUAUCAAGAUGCCAUUUGGAGGCGGAAGCUCCAGUAUUGCUGCCGUUGUUGAGACUUUGAACCCUGCGGGCUUAUGUGCUGGAUUCAGAGUUGAAAUGAGACAUGUGAAUGUUCUGGGCAGGCUGAAAAUUUGGCAGCCCUAUAAGUUGAGUUUUUAAGCUUUUUAAGUAUUUCUGUAGAGGAGAGGUGAACACUGCAGGGGAGAAGCAUAGAAGAAAGGCACUGGAAUCAGGGCUCAUCCUAUUCUUUUUAUUUCCAAGCAAUUUAAUGCUGUCCCCAAACUCUUAUACACUAUUCAGCAAAUCAGAAAGUCUGAAGUUAACCUGAUGCCCCUCUUUAGAAAAUGGGGCCUGAAGGAUGCCUCUCGGGAGGUCUAAUACCCCAUCCCAAUACUUGCCUUAUCCAAGUAUUUCUUUAAGUUUCAUGGUUCACUCUUCCUGAGAAAAUUUCUGGCAAAUACAAUGUUCUCCAACUCAUUCCAUUAGCAGCAAAGAGUGAUUGCUCCCUGAUAUGUUGACUCCCCAUACAGUAGCCUGGCUGGCAGUCUCUUAAUCUGACUCUGAUUGAAUUUGGGGAAUGGAGAGACAUGAUCUUGGCACCUAAAUAUGUACUCCCUAUUUAUUCUUUGUUUUAGGUGCCAAUAUUGACCUCCAUUUUCAUUUAAAAAUAAUUACCGACAGUAAUACUUGUAUUGAGCUAUAAGAUUUGUGUACUUGUUGAACUUCUUAAUUUUUUUGGUGAGGAAGAUUGGUCCUGAGCUAACAUCUGUGCCAAUCUUCCUCUAUUUUAGAUGUGGGAUGCUGCCAGAGCGUGUUUGUUGAGCGGUGUGUAGGUCCAUGCCCAGGAAGUGAACCUACAAACCCCAGGUCACCAAAGCAGAGUACAGGAACAUAACUACUAUGCCACCGGCUGGGCCCCUGUACUUGUUAUACUUUGGUAAAAUAAUUACUUACUGUCCCUUAAAACUUAGACCACCCACAGACAGAAUGGAUGGCUGAUUAGGGGAUAAAAUUUGAGGGGAAAUAGAAAACUCUACCUGGUUAAAAUAUGUUUUCUACUGACAUUACCACGAGUUUUUAACGUAUUUAACUAAAAAAGAAAUAUAAAUAAUACUCAUCAUUGGGUAAAAGGAGAAAAUACAAAUAAGCAAAAAUAACAAAAAUUAAAAUAAUCCCAAAACACCUACCAGAGGUUUUAUAACAAUGUUAACAUUUUUGUGUUUCCUUCCAGGGUUUUCCUGGGAGGAUAUGCAUAUGAAAAAAAAUACAUAUUAAAAACAUAUUUACAAAGACUAGAUGAUUUUCUAUAUUAUGCUAUGUAACCUACUUUUUGUAUCUCAUAAUAUGUUAUCAAAAAAUUUCCAUGCCAAUAAAUAUAUAAUUUGUUAUUUUA